rnacentral:antisense_RNA from 1 species
CUUCAGCGAUCCGAGCCACAGCGGAGCAUUCUCCGGCCGGUCCUUGCCGUACGUCGCGAGCAGCGCCUGGGCCUC